GGUAAAUGAAAACUAUGUCCACACAAAAACAUGUACAUGAAUGUUCACAGCAGCAUUAUGCAGAAUAGCCAAAAAGUAGAAUAACCCAAAUGCCCAUCAACUGAUAAAUGGAUAAAUACAAUGCAGUAUAUCUGUAGAAUGGAAUAUUACCCAGUAAUAAAAAUGAAGUGAUGCUACAUGCAAUGGCAUG